ACUAGUGAUUUUCCGGUUGAUCCUGCCGGACCUUACUGCUAUCGGGAUAGGACUAAGACAUGCAUGUCGAGCGUCUCUUAGCCAGGAUUGAGACGCGGCACACGGCUCAGUAACAUGUGGCUAACCUAACCUCAGGACAGGGACAACCCCGGGAAACUGGGGCUAAUCCUUGAUAGAUGUGGAACCCUGGAAUGGAUCCACACCCAAAAGAUGUUCAGAUCAUGCUUUGAACAUCGCCUAAGGAUGGGGCCGCAGCCGAUCAGGUUGUUGGCGAGGUAACGGCUCACCAAGCCUAUAACCGGUACGGGCCGCGGGAGCGGUAGCCCGGAGAUGGACACUGAGACAAGGGUCCAGGCCCUACGGGGCGCAGCAGUCGCGAAACCUCCGCAAUACACGAAAGUGUGACGGGGCUAUCCCGAGUGCCGUCCGCUGAGGAUGGCUUUUCUCCAGUGUAAGGAGCUGGAGGAAUAAGGAGAGGGCAAGUCUGGUGUCAGCCGCCGCGGUAAUACCAGCUCUCCGAGUGGUAAGGACGAUUAUUGGGCUUAAAGCGUCCGUAGCCGGCCCAGCAAGUCCUUCGUUAAAUCCAGCGAUUCAAUCGUUGGACUGUGGGGGAUACUGUUGGGCUAGGGGACGGGAGAGGCCGACGGUAUUCUCGGAGUAGGGGUGAAAUCCUAUAAUUCCGGGAGGACCACCAGUGGCGAAGGCUGUCGGCUAGAACGAGCUCGACGGUGAGGGACGAAAGCUGGGGGAGCGAACCGGAUUAGAUACCCGGGUAGUCCCAGCUGUAAACGAUGCGGGCUAGGUGUUAGGGUGGCUACGAGCCACUCUAGUGCCGCAACGAAGGCAUUAAGCCCGCCGCCUGGGGAGUACGGCCGCAAGGCUGAAACUUAAAGGAAUUGGCGGGGGAGCACCACAAGGCGUGAAGCGUGCGGUUUAAUUGGAGUCAACGCCG
rnacentral:rRNA from 1 species